CCUUCGAUAGCUCAGUUGGAAGAGCGCAAGACUGUAAAGGUUACACCCAAGGCGAUCUUGAUGUCGCUGGUUCGAUCCCGGCUCGAAGGA
rnacentral:tRNA from 2 species